UAAUACGGAGGGUGCGAGCGUUAAUCGGAAUUACUGGGCGUAAAGCGUACGCAGGCGGUUUGUUAAGCGAGAUGUGAAAGCCCCGGGCUCAACCUGGGAACUGCAUUUCGAACUGGCAAACUAGAGUGUGAUAGAGGGUGGUAGAAUUUCAGGUGUAGCGGUGAAAUGCGUAGAGAUCUGAAGGAAUACCGAUGGCGAAGGCAGCCACCUGGGUCAACACUGACGCUCAUGUACGAAAGCGUGGGGAGCAAACGGGAUUAGAUACCCCGGUAGUCCACGCCGUAAACGAUGUCUACUAGAAGCUCGGAGCCUCGGUUCUGUUUUUCAAAGCUAACGCAUUAAGUAGACCGCCUGGGGAGUACGGCCGCAAGGUUA
rnacentral:rRNA from 1 species